rnacentral:rRNA from 1 species
UCGAGAAUCUUCCGCAAUGGGCGCAAGCCUGACGGAGCGACACCGCGUGCAGGAUGAAGGCCUUCGGGUUGUAAACUGCUGUCACGCUUUCGGAAUACCCGAAUGUAAAUAGCAUCCGGAUUGACCAGGGCGAAAGGAAGCACCGGCUAACUCUGUGCCAGCAGCCGCGGUAAGACAGAGGGUGCAAACGUUGUUCGGAAUUACUGGGCAUAAAGAGCACGUAGGUGGUCUGCUAAGUCGUGUGUGAAAUCCCCCGGCUCAACCGGGGAAUAGCGCUCGAUACUGGCAGGCUCGAGGUGGGUAGGGGUGAGCGGAACUCCAGGUGGAGCGGUGAAAUGCGUAGAUAUCUGGAGGAACACCGGUGGCGAAAGCGGCUCACUGGACCCAAUCUGACACUGAGGUGCGAAAGCUAGGGUAGCAAACGGGAUUAGAUACCCCCGUAGUCCCUGAGCGGGCUGGCAAGGCGCAU